GGAUGCGUAGCUCAGCCGGUAGAGCAUCGGACUUUUAAUCUGGUGGUCGUAGGUUCAAGUCCUACCGCACCCA
rnacentral:tRNA from 1 species